UACGUAGGGUGCAAGCGUUAAUCGGAAUUACUGGGCGUAAAGCGUGCGCAGGCGGUUUUGUAAGACAGGUGUGAAAUCCCCGGGCUUAACCUGGGAACUGCAUUUGUGACUGCAAGGCUGGAGUGCGGCAGAGGGGGAUGGAAUUCCGCGUGUAGCAGUGAAAUGCGUAGAUAUGCGGAGGAACACCGGUGGCGAAGGCGGUUCUCUGGGCCUUACCUGACGCUGAGGAGCGAAAGCAUGGGGAGCAAACAGG
rnacentral:rRNA from 1 species